ACAAAUAGUUUACUAGGUGUUUCUUAGUGGCGGGCGGGUUAGUAACACGUGAGUAACAUGCCUCGAAGUGGGGGAUAGCCUUUCGAAAGAGAGAUUAAUACCGCAUGUGGUCUUCGGACCAAAGGUGCCUUCGGGUGCCGCUUUGAGAUUGGCUCACGGCCUAUCAGCUAGUUGGUGAGGUAACGGCUCACCAAGGCAACGACGGGUAGCUGUUCUGAGAGGAAGAUCAGCAACACUGGAACUGAGACACGGUCCAGACACCUACGGGUGGCAGCAGUCGAGAAUCAUUCACAAUGGACGAAAGUCUGAUGGUGCAACGCCGCGUGGAGGAUGAAGGCCCUAGGGUCGUAAACUCCUGUCAUAUAAGAGUAAGACAUAGUUGGUUAAUACCCAGUUAUGUUUGAUAGUAUUAUAAGAGGAAGGGACGGCUAACUUCGUGCCAGCAGCCGCGGUAAUACGAAGGUCCCAAGCGUUAUUCGGAAUCACUGGGCGUAAAGAGUACGUAGGCGGUUUGGUAAGUCAGGUGUGAAAUCCCGAAGCUCAACUUCGGAACUGC
rnacentral:rRNA from 1 species